CUUUGUUUUCCUUGAUGUAGCACAUCGACAUGGUCAUGGACUUGUUGCGCGAUUGCGAGUUGAGAGAUAUCCACAAUCAUUCUACAAGCUUGGUCGCAUUAUACUGAACACCGAGUUCUUCCGUGCCGUUACCAUUGAGUAUCAGUCCCUCCAACUUCUAGGUAACGAAUACGUGCUUCCCGCCUAUAUGUUCGAGUGGGUCAUCGAGCUGUCACCGAGUGUUGGGGGAAAGCCAUGGGAAGGUUGUACGCAUUUGUACAUUCCAAUUAUCGCGAAUCAGCACUGCAUUGAACUGGAGAUCGUGUUCCCUGAUUUGACGAUAUGUGUACGAUCCCGAUCAUUCAUGUCUGACAAAGGGACAGCUUGAGCAGAUCGUAGAGUCGAUAACUGUGAUCGUUCCUAUGAUGGCUAGACAUGCGAGCUUGACUGUGGAUGACAGACUAGCCAUCGUGCGGGACACGACAACGAUGAGACAUUGUAUAUCGUAAGUCUUUGUAAUUUUUUUUUUUGAUUUAGUAAUCAGUUCGUACGUAAUUGGAAUCGAACUAACACAUAUUUGUUCAUUUGCAGGGGUGACUGUGGGAUUUUCGCAAUCAAAUAUAUAGAAUUUUUGAGUAUAGCACAUAAGGUUGAUGGAAUCAACCAGUCAUGAAUACAGAAUUGGCGAAAUAAGUUAGCGUGUGAUUUAUACGAAUUUAAUUAUGAUCCAUAAAUUAUUUGUAAAUAUUUUUUGUACUUCAAUAUUUGUAAUUAUUUUUUGUGAUUAUUCAUGUAAAUAUUGUUUAUUUCAAUG
rnacentral:lncRNA from 1 species